AGUACAGAGAAUGUUACUUUGUUUUUCAAUACUUACUGCUGAUUGGAAAAAGCAUUAUGGACUAACUCUUGCUAAACAGCAUAAACUGUAUCUCCGACCAAUCUCAUUUGUACCAAGUAGCCGUUCUUGGUAAAGAUCUUGUACGAAGAAACUACAAUUAAGAUGAGCCUAAGAACAUAUUGGCAUACUUCUAGAGGUAGAAACGUAGACGAGAAAGCACAGUU